CUAACUACGUGCCAGCAGCCGCGGUAAUACGUAGGGUGCGAGCGUUGUCCGGAAUUACUGGGCGUAAAGGGCUCGUAGGUGGUUUGUCGCGUCGUCUGUGAAAUUCUGGGGCUUAACUCCGGGCGUGCAGGCGAUACGGGCAUAACUUGAGUGCUGUAGGGGUAACUGGAAUUCCUGGUGUAGCGGUGAAAUGCGCAGAUAUCAGGAGGAACACCGAUGGCGAAGGCAGGUUACUGGGCAGUUACUGACGCUGAGGAGCGAAAGCAUGGGUAGCGAACAGGAUUAGAUACCCUUGUAGUC
rnacentral:rRNA from 1 species